rnacentral:rRNA from 1 species
UACGGGGGGAGCAAGCGUUGUUCGGAUUUACUGGGCGUAAAGGGCGCGUAGGCGGCCACCGCAAGUCGACUGUGAAAUCUCCGGGCUUAACCCGGAAAGGUCAGCCGAUACUGCGGGGCUAGAGUGCAGAAGGGGCAACUGGAAUUCUCGGUGUAGCGGUGAAAUGCGUAGAUAUCGAGAGGAACACCUGCGGCGAAGGCGGGUUGCUGGGCUGACCUGACGCUGAGGCGCGAAGGCUUGGGGAGCGAACGGG